rnacentral:lncRNA from 1 species
UUGGCUCAGUGGUUGGGCACUCAGUCCCAAAGUGGCUGUCUCGAGUGGAGGUGAAACAUCUGAGUUCGAGCCCCCAGCACUUCUUUGGGAAAAAAAUCCUGGGCUAGCAAUUUACCUUUGCCCACCCGUUGCUACAGUGAUUAGUCCCUUGGUUGACAGCUUUGGGGGGAUACACUGGGUUUAGAAAGAAAUAAAAAAUAAAAAGUUAUCCAUUCAAAAAA